CUCAGUAGGGUCGAAAAUUUGGCUAUACAAAUUGGUGAGCACCAUCAUUUAUUUCCAUGUUUAAAUGCUUUGGCCUGUAGUACGUCACGGUCCUAUUUGCAGCUAUAAAAAGAGGGCUUUGCAGGAUGCCAAUAGAGAUCAUAAUGGAGACAAGCAUGAUCAAGCAGACGAUUCUGAAUCUCACGGAUACCGAUCGCAAUAACUCUAGCAAAGCAAGCCAAAAGACCAAAAGUGAAAAGGGAGGGGCAGAGGUACACAUACCAGAAGAUCCUUGAGAGACGGAGAGUGAAGACUCCUCCGGAUGGCAUGUUCCACAGAACUUACUCAUGGAAGGGGGAGGGGGAGUGGCAGCAGAAACUGCAUUAGGGGGCGGCGGCGUAGGCUGAGACACAGG